UACGUAGGGGGGCAAGCGUUGUCCGGAAUCAUUGGGCGUAAAGAGCGUGUAGGCGGUUCGAUAAGUCUGCUGUGAAAGUCCAAGGCUCAACCUUGGGGAUGCCGGUGGAUACUGUCGAACUCGAGUCCGGAAGAGGAGUGUGGAAUUCCUGGUGUAGCGGUGAAAUGCGCAGAUAUCAGGAGGAACACCGAUGGCGAAGGCAGCACUCUGGGACGUGACUGACGCUGAGACGCGAAAGCGUGGGGAGCGAACAGG
rnacentral:rRNA from 1 species